CGAAGGUGGGGCUAAUGACUGGGGUGAAGUCGUAACAAGGUAGCCGUACCGGAAGGUGCGGCUGGAUCACCUCCUAACAGGGAGACAACAAAAUGUUUAAUAUUAUUAUUUUGUCACCUUAGGUCGAUCGGUAUCUCACGUCCUUAAUUUAUUAAGGAUUUCCUUUCCUAAGUUUUUCUAGGUCACACCCAUUAUUUUUCCUGGGCCAUUAGCUCAGGUGGUUAGAGCGCACCCCUGAUAAGGGUGAGGUCCCUGGUUCAAGUCCAGGAUGGCCCAUAUCUCUAUGUUGGGGGUAUAGCUCAGUUGGUAGAGCGCCUGCUUUGCAAGCAGGAUGUCAGCGGUUCGAGUCCGCUUACCUCCACUGAUCACCACCUCUACCAUAAUUUGUAGAAAGGAAAUUUUUUGAGUUGUGAUCAAAUUCUGAACGAAUCUAGCUUCCUAGUGAAACAUUAAGAUGCUGGACUCAUUGAAUUUAUUUCAUUGUUUUCAGAGAACCUUGACAACUGCAUAGAUUAUUUUUAAAGACAAUAAGCAUCUUUAUGAUGCAGAUUUAUUAUUUGUGCGAAUGCAUUAAUAACAAUUCUAUUAAGCUGAUGCUUCAAUUAUUGAAGUUAUUGGUCAAGCUACAAAGGGCUCACGGAGGAUACCUAGGCACACAGAGGCGAU
rnacentral:misc_RNA from 1 species